rnacentral:guide_RNA from 1 species
AUAACUCGAUGUAAGUGAAUCUGUGAGACUAUGAUUAUA